CUUAAUUGAAAGAUAUUUCAAUCUUCUUCUGAUUUCUUUGACUUGGUUAAUUUCAAACAGCAAAUAGGGGCCUUUUACACACAUAUAGGCUUAUUUUCUUCAUAAUCAGUCAAUUAUCUUUAUUUUAACUUAAGCCCAAACAUUUUAGUUUGCACCCAUCUCAUAUGCCCCAUGAACUUGCCAAGUCCAGCCCAACUUUUUUAAUUCUGAAUACAAGCAAGAAAAGUAAUGAGCUUGCUCUUGGACCUGGUCAAUGGGCCCUCGUAUGUCAUG
rnacentral:misc_RNA from 1 species